rnacentral:lncRNA from 1 species
CUUCGGUGUUGACAUGCAUAUCAUUAAUGUGGUCAUUUUAUAAAUUCCUGUUUACAAAACUUUGAAUUUACCGAAAAACAAAGGAUUUUCUUAUCCCAGGCAUAGAUUACCUUAGCCGUAUUUGGCACAACUUUUUGGACUUUUGGAUCCUUAAUGCUCUUCAACUUUUUACUUGUUUGGCUUUAUAAAUAUUUUGAUAUGAGCGUCACUGAUGAGUCUUAUGUAGACGAAACGCGCGUCUG